UACGUAGGUGGCAAGCGUUGUCCGGAAUUAUUGGGCGUAAAGCGCGCGCAGGCGGUCCUUUAAGUCUGAUGUGAAAGCCCACGGCUCAACCGUGGAGGGUCAUUGGAAACUGGGGGACUUGAGUGCAGAAGAGGAAAGCGGAAUUCCACGUGUAGCGGUGAAAUGCGUAGAGAUGUGGAGGAACACCAGUGGCGAAGGCGGCUCACUGGCCCGGUACUGACGCUGAGGCGCGAAAGCGUGGGGAGCAAACAGG
rnacentral:rRNA from 1 species